rnacentral:rRNA from 1 species
CGGCGGACGGGUGAGUAACACGUGAGUAACCUGCCUUAGACAUAGGGAUAGCCUCGGAAACCGGGAUUAAUACCAAAUGAAAUCACAUAUGCACAUGCAUAAAUGAUCAAAGCUCCGGCGGUCUAAGAUGGACUCGCGUCCCAUUAGCUAGUUGGUGAGGUAACGGCCCACCAAGGCGACGAUGGGUAGCCGGCCUGAGAGGGUGAACGGCCACAUUGGAACUGAGAAACGGUCCAAACUCCUACGGGAGGCAGCAGAG